rnacentral:lncRNA from 13 species
UUUUUUUUUUUUAAGUUGAACAGUUGACUCUCUCCUAGUUGUUCCAGUCGCCUGCUGAAAGGGUGCUGGGAUCUGUGUGAUUUCCCGUGCAGAGACCCACUGUGCUGGCUGAAACAAAGGUGCUGCCUGGGAAUCUCCUGGCCAGCUUAAAAGGGCAACCAGACCAGUGUAUUUUGUACGAAGAGCUGCCGCACUGGCACGCCAGCAAAACAGCAGCUCUGGUGACCCGCAGGGCUUCUCCGCCUAGCAAUCUCCAGGUCUUUGGGCAAUAAAGAUCUGUCUGGAAAUGCAGCAUCCACUCACCUUCUGUGCUUCCACUGGGAUCUGCAAUCCUGAGCUGCUCCUAAAAGAAUAUUUACAUCUGUUGGAUUUGGUGCACUGGAGUGAAGAGAGAGAUGAUUUAUCUCCAAGAUCAUAUUAAGUCCUAGGUAAUCCGAUUAUGGAGAAUUUGAAGAGUUAACAAAAGAUGCAUAUCCUUAAUUCCUAUGGGGUAUACCUUCAUUCCUUCAUACUUGCAGAGAGGAGACCACACAAAAAAGAGACAUCUGCUUCCCUCCCUACAGUUUGCAGAAGAGGAGACCAAGGUAUGGAGAGCUUGAGCACAACGAUGGCAGUAGUGAGGAUUAUACUUUGAAGCAUCGAUCAAGACUAACAUGUACCAUGUAAAACAUGACGUUGUGCUCCAAAAUCCUGAACUGAUGAUAUAUUAAAUUUUACCAUAAUUACAGGUAUUGUGUUGGUGUAGUAUUUAGGAAAUAAAUAAAACCAUAAUGUAGAAACCA